rnacentral:lncRNA from 1 species
AAAGAAAUCAGGAGUGGUAUCAGCAGCGAGGAAAAUCAAAGCAUGAGCUAUCUGAAGGGCAGAGAGAAAACUUUGUUUAUUCAUUGCCCUAGGAGUACUGUGGGUGGAGAACAGCAAGGGUGGAGGUAUGGCAACCUGACCCAAUCUUUUUGCACCCGUACACUCUCCACAUUCCUUUGAAAUCUUGUCUGGAUAGUUGCAGCGAAAAGCAAAAGUGAUGGGAAGCAAGUCUAGGGAAGGCUCCCAAUUCUGUGCUGAACUAGCAAGCAAAGGAUUCUCUGGCCAAGAGGUGAACCUAGUCAAUGGUGCCCUCUAGUGUCAAAGAACAGAUUGGCUCCGAAGAGGAAAGCUGAGAAAGAUUUCUCGUGAUUUAGGCCCUGGAAACAUUAACUUGCCUGGUCUUCCCUUCCUUUCUUUUCCUCUAUUUUCUUUCCCCACUUACAUUUCUCUGCCAUCUGAGUCACUUUAUACCACUCCCCCAACAAAAAUAUGUAUUAUUUUUUGAAAGAUCUGAACUCUGUGUUGCUCCCAGGCAAACAUCGUUAAUACAGAGUUGAAUAGCAUAAGGAUAUGCAAAUCGGUUUGGAAUGAAUUUAUUUAGAAAAGCUGUGGCUCACAUAAAUCAAAUGUUUCCUUGCUUUUGAAGCAUGCCCCAACUAAUUUCAUUUCUGGGGACGGGGCAGAUGAAAUAGUUUUCUUAGUGUGUUAUAGUUUAACAACGCUAACUUAUUCUCAAGUCUUAUUAUUUUAUAAAGCUUCACCCAAUGUGGGGCUUGAAUUCAUGAUCCUGAGAUCAAGAGUUGCACACUUUACCAGCUACCAGACAGGUGUUCCAUUCCAAGUCUUACUUAUGCUGUGCAGAUAUUUUUGUAAGGAAAUGGUAGAAGAAAUAUCCUGCUCAUAAUUUCCUGGUGAGUAGAGUAUCUCAUUCUUUUAUGAGGGCCUGUGUUCUGUCUUUUGUUUGAAGUGAAAGCAGUUGUACAUGGCUGUGUUCUCAUAGUUGCAGGGUCCUCCAGAAAUUGGAGUGUGAUUCUGAGGUUGCUGUUUUCCUCCUGGAAAGGUUUACUUUGCAUCUAGCACUUUGGUGACAUAAUAUGGUAGCUCCUCAACAGGAUUACUUUUCUUUUGUCCCUUUAGUGAUUGGUGGGCUGAGCAGAAUUAACAUUGAAUUCAUUGGCCCAAAGUUGUUCCAUUCUGGUAGUUUCCAUCUUUACAUUGAGGACAACUAACUUCUGGGGUGCAUGGGUGGCUCAGUCAGUGGACUAACUUCGGUGUCCGACUUUGGCUCAGGUCAUGAUCUCAUGGUUCAGGAGGUCUAGCCCGCAUCGGGCUCUGUGCUGACAGCUUGGAGCCUGGAGCCUGCUUCGAAUUCUGUGUCUCCCUCUCUCUCGGCCCCUUCCCCGCUUGCGCUUUCACUCUCUCUCACUAAAAAAUGAAUAAACAUUAAAAAGACAAAAGGAUAACUGACUUCUAAGUUCAGGGAUAUUUCAGAUGUUAUUUAUCACACAAAAUCAGUCAGUCUGCAGCGUUCGUUCAAAGUGGAAGUGAAAGUACUGUUAACAACUAUGGAUGCAGGAUCCAGACUUUGGAUCAGACCUGUUCCAGGACAUAUUUUGUCAGUAAUUUUAAAAAUGGAGGUAGUUUAGAAAUCUGAUCUUGAGAAGGCCACGCUAUACAAACACAAGGCUUUAUUCCAGGUGAGGGUCAUGGGUUUUGUAGUCAUUUCAGCUGCUAUCUGUAUAAGCAAGACUCCAUCAAUAACCUUAUGAGGGUCACUCUUUUAUAUAGGAUGUCAAUUUUGCCUUAGAAAAUGAGCCUAAGUGACUCUAGAGGCUACAAACUGUUUUUGGUAGAAAUAGAGGAUCCUGUUAGAAUGGUAGAAGUUAAUUGAGGGCACCUGGCUGGCUCAGUUGGUAGAGCAUGGGACUCUUGAUCUCAGGGUUGUGAGUUCAAGCCCCAUGUUGGGUGUAGAGAUUACUAAAAAAAAAAAAAAAAAAAGAAAAGAAAAAGUUAAUUCUGCCCAUUUGUGGCCCAAAGUAUUAAAUAUAUUAAGGAACAAGUAUUAAAUACAACAAAGAAUGAGGCCUAGGUAUUUCCAUGGUCUUAGAUGUUCAACAAACUUUCCAAUUUAUGAAAUGGUGACAAACUUAAAAGCCUGUGGCAUUGUGUUGUUACAAGACCCUGGAAAGCUUUUUGAGUACAGAUUAUACUACUUAUCUGGGCUGAAUCCUGUGUGGUCUUUAACUGCCCCCUGAACCUUACAUAAGUAACUCUUUGGGAUGACCUCUUCAUUCCCCAGCUAGCCUCAGAAACAUACUGGCUCGUUCCUGCCCAUUUGCCAGGCAAAGUUAAUGUUCCAGGUUCCUCAGUUCUGUUUGAAACCUGGUAACCAAAUCACAAAAGCUUCUUCACCACUCGUGUGGUUUGAAAUAUAUCUCAGGCUUUGACUGUUAUUUCAAAUUUCUUUUAUUUGGUUAAGGUACAACAACCCUGACUUUUGUCUGCUGAAAUAGACAAGCAAAGUUGGUUCUCCAUAGUUCUUUCCUUGACCAUCCGUUUUGUCUCCGAAUCUUAAUGAACCUUGAAGUCAGCCCUUACGUGGGUAUGCUUCUAUUAAGUAGAAUGGAAGUUUAUCUACAUAUUAUACUGUCAACUCCUGAUUUCUACUAAUUAGAUCUUUGUUAAAAAUUUUUUUUUUUUUUUUUAAAUUUUUUUAACGUUUAUUUAUUUUUGAGACAGAGAGAGACAGCGCAUGAACGGGGGAGGGGCAGAGAGAGAGGGAGACACAGAAUCUGAAACAGGCUCCAGGCUCUGAGCUGUCAGCACAGAGCCCGACGUGGGGCUUGAACUCACGGACCGUGAGAUCGUGACCUGGCUGAAGUCGGAUGCCCAACCGACUGCGCCACCCAGGCGCUCCAAAAAUUUUUGUUUUUUACACUUACUUUUGAGAAACAGAGUGAGACAAAGCGUGAGCGGAGGAGGGGCAGAGAGAGAAGGAGUCACAGAAUCUGAAGCAGGUCCAGACUCUGAGCAAGCCGUCAGCACAGAGCCUGUUGCGGGGCUCAAACCCACGAACUGUGAGAUCAUGACCUGAGCCGAAGUCAGACGCUCAACCGACUGAGCCACCCAGGCACCCCAUAGCUCUUUAGAAUAAAGAUGGAGGUUUCUGGUAACUUUUUGAGACAUUAGAACACCAGAAAGUGGUUUCUGAGAUUCAGUUGACUUAGUUAUAGUGCCAUUUUAUUAUAUUCUUAAAUCUUUGAACAUUGACAGUCCAUUUAGCACAUUAGAGGACCCCUAAGUUCUAAGUGCUUAAGAAAGGAAAUUAAUAUGAAAGGACCUACUGUAGGUCUAAUGAUUAAGUACCUUAUUUGUUCUGAGCCCUGAGCACUUGUUUUGGGGAAACUGUUCCAUCCUCAGUAACCUCCCCCACUAAUCUUGUGGUCUAAUGUACCUGCACCUACCGCAGUAACCAUGCCCCUUAUGAAGAACUGCUCUAGGGACUUCAGAUGACAAACCUGAGGCACAAACUAGGACACAGGUCUUCUGGGCUGUUGAGAGCUCUUCACACCAUCAGAAUGUUUUUAAACAAAUGAGACUCUCUUUCAUGAAAGAUUCCAAGUCUUAAAUAACUUAAUAAAAAAAUUUUUUUUGAGGUUUAUUCAUUUUUGAGACAGAAAACAAGCAGGGGAGGGGCAGAGAGAGAGGAAGACACAGAAUUGAAGCAGGCUCCAGACUCGGAGCUGUCAGCACAGAGUCCGACACAGGGCUUGACUCUUUAAGGCAACUUCAAUGAAAAAGGAAGUCUUGGCUGCUUGUGAGAACAAUUGCCACUCCCAGAAUCAAAAACGACUAGAACACAGACUUAAAAACCAAGUUAUUUAAUUGUGUCUUCAAAGGUAAACAAUAUUCGGGGCUGGAUCCCAAGCCCUGAGAAUGCCAGAGCUGAGGGUACAGAGUUCAGAGGGUCAGGACUCAGGGUGUUCUAAGGCAGAGCACUUCUGGAAUUCAUGCAUUCCGUUUUGCAAUUUUGCAAACUGCCAGAAACAGACCCCAAGAGUCUUUUAAGAUGGGGAAAAUUCAACUUCCACUUUUAUAGGUAAGAGUGAAGAGUACCAAUAAUGUUCCGUUUACCUCUCCUCACUUUUCUCACAUGACCGGAAGCCUGAGCUAGUGUGUCCCACACACACGGCAGCCUAAGCUGCAGUUCAGGUGUGAGCUCAGUGCCUCUGUGCACUCCCUUCCACGCUGCAGCAAGAGUGACCCAGGGCAGAGAGCUCUCAGCAGUACAGCUUUUAACAAGCACGUAAAGUAAAAAGAACCCUCUAGUGGCACAGUGAGUUAGUUUAUAAGAUUUUAAUUUACAAAUUAAAAAGCUACAUGUUUUAUUUUUUCUCCUUUUUCUCUUCUUUCUUUCCAUCACUCUUUUCCUUCUCUUUUUCUUUCUCUUUGUCAUCUUUCCUAUCCUUUUUGCUUUCUUCUUUUUCCUGCCCCUCUUUCUUCUCUGCAUCCCGGUUGGCAAUUUUGUUGUUGAUGAGGUUGUGCAGGGCAACCACAGAACGGAUCAACGAGGCCAAAUACACCACUACCAUCUGGUCGUUGGUCUUCAGGUAAAAGGCCUUGACAAACUCCUGGAGGCUGACAUCCGGCAGCAGGUUGAAGACGUCCUGUAGCUGGUAGAUGAUCUGGUGGUUGAUGGGCAGCUUGCCCGUGGCCACUUUCUCCAGGUAGCUCCUGAUAUCCAGAAGCUUGGAGUUCAGUCCCUUCAAACCAUGGACCUGGUUUGUGAUCCGCUGGGAAAGAGUGCCCACUGUAGUGUCUUUGAUGUCUCUGUAACAAGAAGGCAGGCAAAAGCAUCAGUGCAUUGUAUUAUCACACAGGGUCUCAGAAUCCAGGCAAACACC